UUUCCUACGGGACGCAGCAGUGAGGAAUAUUGGUCAAUGGGCGGAAGCCUGAACCAGCCAAGUCGCGUGAGGGAAUAAGGCCCUACGGGUCGUAAACCUCUUUUGCCGGAGAGCAAGGGCCGGGACGCGUCCCGGCCCGGAGAGUACCCGGAGGAAAAGCAUCGGCUAAUUCCGUGCCAGCAGCCGCGGUAAUACGGAGGAUGCGAGCGUUAUCCGGAUUUAUUGGGUUUAAAGGGUGCGUAGGCGGGCUUUUAAGUCAGCGGUAAAAAUUCGGGGCUCAACCCCGUCCGGCCGUUGAAACUGGG
rnacentral:rRNA from 1 species